AGGGAAUAUUGGUUAAUGUGCGAAAGCGCGAACCAGCAACGCCGCGUGUGCGAUGAAGGCCUUCGGGUCGUAAAGCACUUUUUGCAGGGAAGAGGAAGGACGGUACCUGCAGAAUAAGUCUCGGCUAACUACGUGCCGGCAGCCGCGGUAAAACGUAGGAGACGAGCGUUAUCCGGAUUUACUGGGCGUAAAGCGCGUGCAGGCGGCAUGGCAAGUUGGAUGUGAAAGCUCCCGGCUUAACUGGGAGAGGUCGUUCAAUACUGCCAGGCUUGAGAGUGGUAGAGGGAAGCGGAAUUCCGGGUGUAGUGGUGAAAUGCGUAGAUAUCCGGAGGAACACCAGUGGCGAAAGCGGCUUCCUGGCCCAUUUCUGACGCUCAGACGCGAAAGCUAGGGUAGCAAACGG
rnacentral:rRNA from 1 species